UAAGCGACUAAGCGUACACGGUGGAUGCCCUGGCAGUCAGAGGCGAUGAAGGACGUGCUAAUCUGCGAUAAGCGUCGGUAAGGUGAUAUGAACCGUUAUAACCGGCGAUUUCCGAAUGGGGAAACCCAGUGUGUUUCGACACACUAUCAUUAACUGAAUCCAUAGGUUAAUGAGGCGAACCGGGGGAACUGAAACAUCUAAGUACCCCGAGGAAAAGAAAUCAACCGAGAUUCCCCCAGUAGCGGCGAGCGAACGGGGAGCAGCCCAGAGCCUGAAUCAGUGUGUGUGUUAGUGGAAGCGUCUGGAAAGGCGCGCGAUACAGGGUGACAGCCCCGUACACAAAAAUGCACAUAUUGUGAGCUCGAUGAGUAGGGCGGGACACGUGGUAUCCUGUCUGAAUAUGGGGGGACCAUCCUCCAAGGCUAAAUACUCCUGACUGACCGAUAGUGAACCAGUACCGUGAGGGAAAGGCGAAAAGAACCCCGGCGAGGGGAGUGAAAAAGAACCUGAAACCGUGUACGUACAAGCAGUGGGAGCCUCUUUUAUGGGGUGACUGCGUACCUUUUGUAUAAUGGGUCAGCGACUUAUAUUCUGUAGCAAGGUUAACCGAAUAGGGGAGCCGAAGGGAAACCGAGUCUUAACUGGGCGUUAAGUUGCAGGGUAUAGACCCGAAACCCGGUGAUCUAGCCAUGGGCAGGUUGAAGGUUGGGUAACACUAACUGGAGGACCGAACCGACUAAUGUUGAAAAAUUAGCGGAUGACUUGUGGCUGGGGGUGAAAGGCCAAUCAAACCGGGAGAUAGCUGGUUCUCCCCGAAAGCUAUUUAGGUAGCGCCUCGUGAAUUCAUCUCCGGGGGUAGAGCACUGUUUCGGCAAGGGGGUCAUCCCGACUUACCAACCCGAUGCAAACUGCGAAUACCGGAGAAUGUUAUCACGGGAGACACACGGCGGGUGCUAACGUCCGUCGUGAAGAGGGAAACAACCCAGACCGCCAGCUAAGGUCCCAAAGUCAUGGUUAAGUGGGAAACGAUGUGGGAAGGCCCAGACAGCCAGGAUGUUGGCUUAGAAGCAGCCAUCAUUUAAAGAAAGCGUAAUAGCUCACUGGUCGAGUCGGCCUGCGCGGAAGAUGUAACGGGGCUAAACCAUGCACCGAAGCUGCGGCAGCGACGCUUAUGCGUUGUUGGGUAGGGGAGCGUUCUGUAAGCCUGUGAAGGUGUGCUGUGAGGCAUGCUGGAGGUAUCAGAAGUGCGAAUGCUGACAUAAGUAACGAUAAAGCGGGUGAAAAGCCCGCUCGCCGGAAGACCAAGGGUUCCUGUCCAACGUUAAUCGGGGCAGGGUGAGUCGACCCCUAAGGCGAGGCCGAAAGGCGUAGUCGAUGGGAAACAGGUUAAUAUUCCUGUACUUGGUGUUACUGCGAAGGGGGGACGGAGAAGGCUAUGUUGGCCGGGCGACGGUUGUCCCGGUUUAAGCGUGUAGGCUGGUUUUCCAGGCAAAUCCGGAAAAUCAAGGCUGAGGCGUGAUGACGAGGCACUACGGUGCUGAAGCAACAAAUGCCCUGCUUCCAGGAAAAGCCUCUAAGCAUCAGGUAACAUCAAAUCGUACCCCAAACCGACACAGGUGGUCAGGUAGAGAAUACCAAGGCGCUUGAGAGAACUCGGGUGAAGGAACUAGGCAAAAUGGUGCCGUAACUUCGGGAGAAGGCACG
rnacentral:rRNA from 1 species